GUGAAACUGAAAUGUUGGAAAUAACUCAAAGAUAUUUCGUCAGAUUUAUACUAAUGAUGGAUAAACGUAGUCCGACUGACUCUUUCUAGUAAUGUUGGUUUGUGGUCUGUCGAAGGAUAUACUGAUAAAAUGAAACUUUGUUUUUUGGAGACUGUGUCGUGCAAAAUCGACAACAAUACAUAAAACGGAUGUUUAAUUUUCGUAUGGGACAAAUAUUAACCGGUGAGGCCAGUCAAAUUUCAUUGACUUACGAUUAUAUCAAAAUUUUGAUAAAAUAUGAUUUUGAUGCUUUUGUUGAAAACUUUGUGGCUGAAAUUUUUUUUCCAGACAAGCUACUGUGGAGCAAAAUUGUAAAACAGACUUUAGACAUAUACGAAGAAAACAAAUGGAAACACUCAGUGAACGGCGACCAGAACUUAAGCGGUACCAUAAAAUACAUACUUGUUUGACGGAGCAUCGUUUGUUACGACUAGCGGUAACUUAUCCAUCGCUAAAUUCAAAAUUUAU
rnacentral:lncRNA from 1 species